rnacentral:rRNA from 1 species
GUACGGGAGGCAGCAGUUAGGAAUCUUGGACAAUGGGCGCAAGCCUGAUCCAGCCAUGCCGCGUGAGUGAUGAAGGCCUUAGGGUUGUAAAGCUCUUUCAGCGGGGAAGAUAAUGACGGUACCCGCAGAAGAAGCCCCGGCUAACUUCGUGCCAGCAGCCGCGGUAAUACGAAGGGGGCUAGCGUUGCUCGGAAUCACUGGGCGUAAAGCGCACGUAGGCGGAUCUUUAAGUCAGGGGUGAAAUCCUGGAGCUCAACUCCAGAACUGCCUUUGAUACUGGGGAUCUCGAGUCCGGAAGAGGUGAGUGGAACUCCGAGUGUAGAGGUGAAAUUCGUAGAUAUUCGGAAGAACACCAGUGGCGAAGGCGGCUCACUGGUCCGGUACUGACGCUGAGGUGCGAAAGCGUGGGGAGCAAACAGGAUUAGAUACCCCGGU